UACGAAGGGUGCAAGCGUUGCUCGGAAUUAUUGGGCGUAAAGGGUUGGUAGGUGGUUACGUUUGUCCGAGGUGAAAUCCCUGAGCUUAACUCAGGACGUGCCUUGGAAACGGCGUAACUAGAGUACUAGAGAGGUUCGUGGAAUUCUUGGUGUAGCGGUGAAAUGCGUAGAUAUCAAGAGGAACAUCAGUGGCGAAGGCGACGAACUGGAUAGUUACUGACACUCAACAACGAAAGCGUGGGGAGCAAACAGG
rnacentral:rRNA from 1 species